AGUGAACGCUGGCGGUAGGCCUAACACAUGCAAGUCGAACGGCAGCACAGUAAGAGCUUGCUCUUACGGGUGGCGAGUGGCGGACGGGUGAGGAAUACAUCGGAAUCUACUUUUUCGUGGGGGAUAACGUAGGGAAACUUACGCUAAUACCGCAUACGACCUACGGGUGAAAGCAGGGGAUCUUCGGACCUUGCGCGAUUGAAUGAGCCGAUGUCGGAUUAGCUAGUUGGCGGGGUAAAGGCCCACCAAGGCGACGAUCCGUAGCUGGUCUGAGAGGAUGAUCAGCCAAACUGGAACUGAGACACGGUCCAGACUCCUACGGGAGGCAGCAGUGGGGAAUAUUGGACAAUGGGCGCAAGCCUGAUCCAGCCAUACCGCGUGGGUGAAGAAGGCCUUCGGGUUGUAAAGCCCUUUUGUUGGGAAAGAAAAGCAGCAGGUUAAUACCCCGCUGUUCUGACGGUACCAAAAGAAUAAGCACCGGCUAACUUCGU
rnacentral:rRNA from 1 species